ensembl:lncRNA
GCUGGAAUGUGUAGAAGGCGCUCUCCAGGUCGGAGGUGGUCUGCCAGAGACAAGAACCGUGGGCACCAGUUUCUGGGCGGGGCUCAAACACUCACCUCUUGUCCCUUUGCUCAUUUCCGUGAGGCACAUCCCAUCAGGAACCUAUUUGGGGGAAUACCUUCUACGGUUUCUAGAAGAAAGAAGAAACACCGGCUAUGUGGGAUUCCUAGUUCAAAGUGCAUGUGUUGAGAGGCUUUCUCGGGAGGUACAAUCCCAAGAGUGGGCCAAAGGAGAGGCAGGCAGAGAGGUCGGGAAAGUCAAGCAGGGGUUGUGUGAGCGAGCUGACCCCAGCUUCCCAAGCCCACAGGCCCUCCCUGCUCAGUGAUAGGGCGCAGCUCAUCCAGGUCCAGCCUCUUCCUGCUCCCAGCCGACCUGGCGGUGGACCGCCCCCUGCACUUGGGGGUCCUGCUACCCGCCACCGCACCCCCACCAGCGGCCUCGGGGAAGGGCGGGGCCCUCCGCGUCUGCGCCCUGCCGCGUUUCUGGGUGAUGGAGGCAUCGGGGUGUCUGCGGGGCCUGCUGGGUCCCAUCUGGCGCAGCCAGGAAGCGGGAUGAAGCCAGCCACACGGGGCUGCCCGGGGCGGGGAGGUGCCCUGCGCGGGGCCUGGCCGCGCUCUCCACGUGGCAAGCAGCCGCGGCCUGGGGCGGCUGAGGCCCAGGCAGCUGGGGAGGAGCGCACGCGGGACUCGGGCAGGGGCGGGUUCCACGCGGGAAGAGGUUACCUUCUUGCGCCUUAGGAGAAGGGUCCUGUGUGGCACGGGCAGCGGGCAGCGCCAGUCCUGCGUUGGGCACCACCGCACAGAUGGCGGCAAGCAAAAGGGCCGAGGUGCGGCACAGCCCGAGGAAGGACGCCGCCUGGAGGCCUUGGCCACGAGGGCCUCGGCUUCGGUUCCACCCGGUUCCACCCGGCCAGCCCGGCUCCGCGCCCUUGGUGCCCAGCCGAGCUGUCCCCCGCCCCCGGCUUCCAACGUGGGCAGCUCGGGCCUGACUCCAGGUCCCAACACCCCCACCCUUCACUGCAGGAGGGCGCAAGGCCUUGGAGCCGCGUGGGCACGGUGGGGAGCGGAGGAGGGGGGUCGUUCUGGAAGUACCUGCUAGAGGAGCCCCGAGCAGAACCAGAGCGCGCCAACGGCACACGCAGAGCCUGGCGCCGAAUCCUUGCACGUCCGCUCCUCUCUCAAGGAAUCUUCAGCCCUGGGAAAGUAAACCAACUUUUACACCAAGAGUUCUCCCUCACAUCUCCCGAGUCAACUCUUUGGAAUGAAUGUCGACUAGAGGGGACAGGCUCAAAAGCCACAGACAGAAGAGCUUCUUGAAUUGGUGAGCACCCGGGCAGAGGAUUUGGGGAAGAUGUUAAAACCCACUUUGCAUGUCUAAAUAGUCAGGGCCUUGUUGGUAAACGUACACUUUACCAGAUGAGUUGUGAACAAGCAUGUGUUCUGAACCACAACAUUGUCCUUGGAGAAUAGUUUGAAAUGUGAGGCUUUCCAAACACCAAGUGAUAAGUGAUACGCAUUUUUCAGCAUCACCCUUUGGGUGUUUGUAACUGUGUAAUAGGAGAACGGGGAAGGUAGAAGAGACAACUUAUCAAGCAGAUUUACGCUUGAUGAUGGGCACCAGUGAUGUUAGCCUGGUGGCGGGGUGGGGCUGGGGGUUCAGUCUACUCUUCUCUUUCUUUACUUUGGGGUUUGGUUCAAAUUUUUCUUCUUGAAGAAAUGUGUCCUAGGGAAAAGAAUGGGAAGUCACCGAAGGCAUUCAGCCCAGCUCCCGCAUAGUCCAAGUAGGGCCUGAGGUCCUUCCCCACCUGCCACAUCCCGUAUUUGGCAAGUCUGUGCGCCACUGUAAGGAAUAUGGCUCCCUUCGCAAAGGCAGACUCUCUCUCUGUCUCUCUCUCUCUCUCAUUCUGUAGACGCGCUGUGUGUGUGUGUGUGCCACGUGCCUUUACAGCCCUCAGCGCGAUGCCUGGGGAACGCGUCGCGAGGUGCCAUUUCCCCCAUUUCCUCGCGUCCCUUACGUAGCCCGGGAAUCUGGGGGAGAAGACGACC